CGGGGGCACGGGGGGCCUACGGGAGGCAGCAGUGGGGAAUCUUGGACAAUGGGCGAAAGCCUGAUCCAGCGACGCCGCGUGAAGGAAGGAGUCCCUCGGGAUGUAAACUUCUGAACUAGUCGAAUAAGGAGGUAGCGGACACGCUACAAGAGAAGGUAGGCUAGGAAAAGUCCCGGCUAACUACGUGCCAGCAGCCGCGGUAAGACGUAGGGGGCGAGCGUUGCCCGGAAUNACUGGGUGUAAAGGGGACGUAGGCGGUAAACCAAGUCAUAUGUGAAAACCAUUUGCUCAACGAAUGGCUUGCGUAUGAAACUGGAGAACUUGAGGGUAGCAGAGGUAGACGGAAUUACCUGAGUAGGGGUGAAAUCCGCAGAUACAGGUAAGAAGGCCGGUGGAGAAGUCGGUCUACUGGGCUACAACUGACGCUGAGGUCCGAAAGCCAGGGGAGCGAACCGGAUUAGAUACCCGGGUAGUCCUGGCCGUAAACGAUGCUCACUAGGUGUAGGGAGCGAAAGACUCUCUGUGCUGAAGCGAACGCGAUAAGUGAGCCACCUGGGGAGUACGUCCGCAAGGAUGAA
rnacentral:rRNA from 2 species